GUGCAGCAGGCGAGAAACCUCCGCAAUGCACGCAAGUGCGACGGGGGAACCCCAAGUGCCACUCUUAACGGGGUGGCUUUUCAGAAGUGUAAAAAGCUUCUGGAAUAAGGGCUGGGCAAGACCGGUGCCAGCCGCCGCGGUAACACCGGCAGCUCAAGUGGUAGCCGCUUUUAUUGGGCCUAAAGCGUCCGUAGCCGGUCUGAUAAGUCUCUGGUGAAAUCCCACAGCUUAACUGUGGGAAUUGCUGGAGAUACUAUCAUGACUCGAGGUCGGGUGAGGCUGGAGGUACUCCCAGGGUAGGGGUGAAAUCCUGUAAUCCUGGGAGGACCACCUGUGGCGAAGGCGUCCAGCUGGAACGAACCUGACGGUGAGGGACGAAAGCCAGGGGCGCGAACCGGAUUAGAUACCCCCGUAGUCC
rnacentral:rRNA from 1 species